rnacentral:lncRNA from 1 species
GUCAUUUCUAGCUGCAGAGGAACAAAGAGCAGAGGCUGCAAGAGUAGCAACAACUUAGAUGUAUAACACCACAAUAGAAGUGCUUCGCUGAUUUUAUAGACCACAAGGUGCCUUUUAUAUUAUUCAGAAACACUUACAGUAUUUUGAAUGUUCUUUCCACUACAAAUGUACUUGGAAAAUGGGAAUAAAAAGGUUGAUCAACAGUUGAUUGGUUAAAUACUGAUGAUUUGAAAAGCCUCGUGUUGUCG